rnacentral:lncRNA from 1 species
UUGGAGAGAAGCAAAUUUAGAAAAAAAUUCUUUCCUGAAAGGCUUUGUGGCAUUUGGAGGAGGGGCACAUCAAUGCCCAGGCAGAUGGUUUGCUAUUAUGGAGAUUCAGAUUCUAGUUGUUUUGUUACUUAGCAGAUAUGAAUUUAGUCUUCUGGAUCCAUUGCCAAAGGAGAGUUCUCUUCACUUGGUGGGGACACAGCAGCCUGUAGGAUCAUGCCGAAUUUGGUAUAAAUUGAGAGCAUAAAAACGAUCAUUGAUGCCCAUAAGAAUAUUGACUAACUGCACUUUGGAAGAAAAUGAUCUCAACAGAUGGAGGCGUUUUAUUCAGUAACAGAUAACAAUAAUCCAUCUAAUGGUCCAACUGCUUUCCUGGUUGGAUUCCUAUUCCUGUUAUAUUUAAAUAAGUUCUUAUUA